rnacentral:rRNA from 1 species
AUACGAAGGGAGCGAGCGUUGUCCGGAAUUACUGGGUGUAAAGGGAGCGUAGGCGGGAGUGCAAGUCAGAUGUGAAAUACAUGGGCUCAACCCAUGGGCUGCAUUUGAAACUGCAUUUAUUGAGUGAAGUAGAGGUAAGCGGAAUUCCUGGUGUAGCGGUGAAAUGCGUAGAUAUCAGGAGGAACACCGGUGGCGAAGGCGGCUUACUGGGCUUUUACUGACGCUGAGGCUCGAAAGCGUGGGGAGCAAACAGGAUUAGAUACCCUGGUAGUCCACGCUGUAAACGAUGAUUACUAGGUGUGGGGGGACUGACCCCUUCCGUGCCGCAGUUAACACAAUAAGUAAUCCACCUGGGGAGUACGGCCGCAAGGUUGAAACUCAAAUGAAUUGGCGGGG